AGGACGAACGCUGGCGGCGUGCUUAACACAUGCAAGUCGAGCGGUAAGGCCUUUCGGGGUACACGAGCGGCGAACGGGUGAGUAACACGUGGGUGAUCUGCCCUGCACUUCGGGAUAAGCCUGGGAAACUGGGUCUAAUACCGGAUAUGACCUCAGGUUGCAUGACUUGGGGUGGAAAGAUUUAUCGGUGCAGGAUGGGCCCGCGGCCUAUCAGCUUGUUGGUGGGGUAAUGGCCUACCAAGGCGACGACGGGUAGCCGACCUGAGAGGGUGACCGGCCACACUGGGACUGAGACACGGCCCAGACUCCUACGGGAGGCAGCAGUGGGGAAUAUUGCACAAUGGGCGAAAGCCUGAUGCAGCGACGCCGCGUGAGGAUGACGGCCUUCGGGUUGUAAACCUCUUUCAGCAGGACGAAGCGCAAGUGACGGUACCUGCAGAAGAAGCACCGGCUAACUACGUGCCAGCAGCCGC
rnacentral:rRNA from 1 species